rnacentral:rRNA from 1 species
GCCCGUGACGCAAGGAACGGCGAACGGCUCAGUAAUACUGCGAUGAUCUGCUCCGCGUGCACGAUAACCACGGGAAACUGUGGCUAAGAGCGCGGAUUGAGACGCAGCCCUAUCAGCAAGUUGGUAGUGUAACGGACUACCAAGGCGGCGACGGGUGACGGGAAAUCGGGGUUUGAUUCCGGAGAGGGAGCCUGAGAGAUGGCUCCCACGUCCAAGGACGGCGGCAGGCGCGAAAAUUGCCCACUCUCUCGCGAGGAGGCAGUUACGAGGCGUGACGGAAGGGCGCACCGCAAAGACGUGCGCGAACGCGAUUGGAGGGCAAGUUCG